GAUGAACGCCGGCGGCGUGCUUAACACAUGCAAGUCGAACGGUGAAGCAGGAGCUUGCUCUUGUGGAUCAGUGGCGAACGGGUGAGUAACACGUGAGCAACCUGCCCCUGACUCUGGGAUAAGCGCUGGAAACGGCGUCUAAUACUGGAUAUGUGAUGUGACCGCAUGGUCUGCAUCUGGAAAGAAUUUCGGUUGGAGAUGGGCUCGCGGCCUAUCAGCUUGUUGGUGAGGUAAUGGCUCACCAAGGCGUCGACGGGUAGCCGGCCUGAGAGGGUGACCGGCCACACUGGGACUGAGACACGGCCCAGACUCCUACGGGAGGCAGCAGUGGGGAAUAUUGCACAAUGGGCGGAAGCCUGAUGCAGCAACGCCGCGUGAGGGAUGACGGCCUUCGGGUUGUAAACCUCUUUUAGCAGGGAAGAAGCGAAAGUGACGGUACCUGCAGAAAAAGCACCGGCUAACUACGUGCCAGCAGCCGCUGUAA
rnacentral:rRNA from 1 species